UUAUUUUUAGGCUCACUUUUAUUACAAAAUUACAAUUUUAGUUAAUAGUUGCACAACUACAAGAUUGUUUUAAUGUCAGCGCUUAAUGAAACACUCUGAUCUGAUUCAAUCCCACUGAACUCAAGUGCAAAAUUCACCCUGAUAUGAAUGGAUUUCCAGCUGAGAAAACCUUUAAGUUUACCAUGAACUAAGGUACAGCUUUUUCUGAUAAUGAAGUGAAAUUAUUUAAAAUCAAUUAUAACAUAAAAGACACAUCCUGAACUAGACAUUCACUGAGCUAAGAUUCUUAAUUUACAGCCUAACAUCCUAACCCUAAAUGGAAAUCCAUACAUCACUGAGUCAAAGUAAUCUGACUUAAGAUAACUUACUUUAGAGCAGGAAAUUAAUCUCUUUUUUUUUUUUUCUUUCUCUGUUCCAUUUGCAUCAGCUGAGACAAAACAGCAACCAGAAUAAUUACUAGUGUGGUUAUUUCACUAACAAAACUCUGCAAGAUUUCUAAAGCACAAACAGUCAACACCACUCUUCCUUUGCUUUUAAAGCCAGCCCUGAGUAAUUUUGGCCACCACUUUAUUUCACAAAUGUAGAACAGCUGUGGAGCAGCUAAUGACUUAUUUGGGGUCCUCUGGCAUAGUAAAAACCUUCCAGCCUUGUACUCCACCACUAAGCAACGCUCCUUGCUACAUAGAAAAGAUAACUUAUGACAUUUGUAUCAAUAUUAUAUUAAUGGAAGCAGCUUUUUGUAGGUUUUUAAAGAAAAGGGCACACCAUUGAAAUAUGAUUUCCCAUAGUUGCAUGACUAUCUAUAUAGAGAAAUAUAAAUUUAUAUAAAUGUAUACUUAUCUGAUAGAUACACAUAUUAUACAUUAUAGACAUAUACAUACAUAUAUACAUAGUGUUAUAUACACAUGCACAGAUUUGUAUAUACAUAUUUAUAAAUAUAUAUAUAUACACACAAAUGCACACACAGCUUGCUUCUUUUUAGCUAGCUAUAGUUAUAAAUUCUUCCUCCCCCAUGGAGCCAAGAUGAUUUGAGUUGCCUCUGGUGAACUCCCCACGGUUGCCUUCCCAUCCUGAAUUAAAUAUAAUACUCAUUAUUCUGCCAUUCUGGUUCCUGAGAAACUUGGCAACCUUUCUGAAUGACUUGAGAUGCAGUAAUUUCUCCUGCAUUGCCUCGAACCUAUUCUAGGAGAUGCAACACGCUGCUAAAAUUAAGUGUCCAAAAUGCUAAUAUGUCUGAGAAGUGCCUCUGCUGACCUACAUUGAGAAUGUAGGUCUUAAUGUGUCUACUUUUAGCUUCCUAACCAAAAUACCCAUAUUUUUAACAAAAGUUCAAAGCAAGCCAUGUACCUGAAUCUCCCCAAACUUUCAAAAAAUUGACUUCUACACUUC
rnacentral:lncRNA from 1 species